rnacentral:rRNA from 1 species
AACGAACGCUGGCGGCAUGCCUAACACAUGCAAGUCGAACGAGACCUUCGGGUCUAGUGGCGCACGGGUGCGUAACGCGUGGGAACCUGCCUUUAGGUUCGGAAUAACUCAGAGAAAUUUGAGCUAAUACCGGAUGAUGUCUUCGGACCAAAGAUUUAUCGCCUUUAUAUGGGCCCGCGUUGGAUUAGCUAGUUGGUGGGGUAAAGGCCUACCAAGGCGACGAUCCAUAGCUGGUCUGAGAGGAUGAUCAGCCACACUGGGACUGAGACACGGCCCAGACUCCUACGGGAGGCAGCAGUGGGGAAUAUUGGACAAUGGGCGAAAGCCUGAUCCAGCAAUGCCGCGUGAGUGAUGAAGGCCUUAGGGUUGUAAAGCUCUUUUACCCGAGAUGAUAAUGACAGUAGCGGGAGAAUAAGCUCCGGCUAACUCCGUG